AGCUCGCACAUCAGCGGUGCUCCGGGCUGUCGCUCUGCCUCCGCGCAUGCGCGGAGCCGGCCGGCUCGCCUAAGGAGGCGGAGCGGGGCGGUGCCGCAGGACCCCUGCCCGCGGCAAAAUGGCGGCGUCCUUCUCUGGAGCGGGAGUCGCGCCGGGCCGGCCUCAGCUCGGGACGGGCCGGGACACCCAGGCGCGGUGCCGCAGCGAGGGCAGAAGCAGCUCCCCGCCGCUAGGACCCCUGUGGGGUUUGUUGCUGAGCGAGGGUGGCACACUGUGUAAACAGGAAAUCUGCUGCUGGCGUGCUGCAGUUGCAGGUUUCCCAGGAGAAAGAGCAGCCCGUCUGUCCUGACUGUCCAGCAAACCUGUGCAAUCCCAGGAGUGUAAGUACAGUCUUGUGUAGCAUUGUCAUUCUGCCCCACUACUCUGAUAUCUAACAAGAAGACACUGUGGAUUUAAAGAUGGUGUGUAUUAAAUGAAGUAUAAGAAGAAACAGCUUCUUCGGACACUUGCGCUACUCUUCUUCAGCUCGUGCAGAAGGCUGACAGCCUGUCUCACUCUCGUCAGUGCUAUCCCACCAGCUCCUUUAGGAGCUCAGCACCGCGUUUGGCCUGUUGCGAUCUUCCCGCUCCCCUCAUUUCUGUGCUGCAACGCCACCAUCCACGAGAAGUCAGAUAGGAGAAAAACUCUUUCCAGAGAGAUGGAGAAGGAAUUAAUUAUACCUCUGCCUCUUCCCGUGAGACCAGAAGACAGUGGAGUAACUGUAAGCUGCGAUUCUCAGAAGACAUACUAAGCGUCUCUGGUUCCUUCUCUGCCUGCCCCCCUAGGGCCUUAGGCAUGAGAAAUCUUAGGGUUAAUGUUUUUCCCUAUGAAAUACUGUUGCGUUAAGGGGCGUAGCUGACUAACUGUUAUGGGUCUGGUCGGAUUCGGGGUACUGAACUACCACGGUCACGGAUUCACCAAUAACGUAGCACACCCUCGCUCUAGUUGUGUUCAAUGAGAACUGUCACGGCUAGGAACAAUGCAACGAAGGGCAGUUUAUUACAGCAACAGGGACACAGGUUCUUUGGAAUUGCCGGCGAUAAAUUCACUGUCCGCAAAAGCAAGUGAGCACACAUGAAAUACACAGGUACUCGUCCUGGCUAUUAACAUGUUAAAAGGCACAAAGGCUCUAGAAAUUUCUAAGUUUCUACGGAGACACCUGGUACAACCAAGUGUUCAAAUCUUACCCCACGACAUCCCAGUGCGGGGGGAAGAGAGGCUCAGCCCGUCGACUGAUCGUGGAAGUCAGAAAGGUAUCCUUUGUGAUGGUAUCUUCCCUAACAUCCCCUUUCACUUAAGCCAAUUUACGUUAUCCACCAAUCUAUUCUCUUUAGUGACCAGUGAUAGGACCCGCGGGAAUGGUGUCAACCUGCGGCAGGAGAGGUUCAGGCUAGACAUCAGGAAGAGGUUCUUCACUGAGAGGGUUGUCGAGCACUGGAACAGUCUCCCCAGGGCGGUAGUCACUUUACCAAGUCUGUCGCAGUUUAAGAAGCAUUUGGACCGUGCACUUAGUCACGUGGUCUGAAUUUCUGAGUUGACCUGUGUGGUGCCGGGAGUUGGGCUUGAUGACCCUUGUGGGUCCCUUCCAACUCGGGAUAUUCUAUGAUUCUGUGAUUAUUUUCUGUCCCUUUUAGGUGGAGCUUGAGUGACUCUAGUCAGGCAUAUCUUGGUUAUGAUUUGUAAAGUUUUCUUGCUUUCGUUUAAAGGUAUAGGGGACUGAGAAAUUCAGAGCGUGUGCUCGGUGAGGGGUGGUCGCAGCUUGGAGGCAUGGAGCUUUUGGGAUGGAGGUGCGUUUUGGUAUUAUAAUGAUAUAAUGAGCAAAAGUUCACUAGAGUACAACGUUUUGUCAAAACCGUGACAGGUUGUUGGCUCAGGGUGUGAGAAACAAAGUUGUGUUUUUGCAGUAGAGAAUUACUUUUCUGUAUUCCAAGGUAAUUGUGUAGUCAUAAUAAGGAGAAAUGCUAAGUAGAUAAGUGAAGGGAAUGAGGACACAGACUCCAAGAUAGUUGAGAAAUGGAGACCCUUUAUUGUUCCAAUGCCAGAUAUUAUAUAGCUUUCUGAGCCAGCUACAUGCACUGCACGCGGCUAGCGUGCGUAGUUACAGACUUCUGAUUGGUGCAUCCCUUUUGAUCAUGCGUAGCCCUCUAUAGGCCCGUCCGAGUCUAGCAACUUCUUAUUGGUUCCCACUUCCUCUUCUUCUAGCCUGGUUACCACUCUAUGCCUGUGAGUAACCUUCUUCUUAACCCUUAGUGCACCGCCGUACCAAUCAGCUCCAGUUUAUCACUGAACGGGUCACCCAUAAUUCCCCCUUUUUUUUUUUUUGCUUCUACAAGCCAAAUCGUGCGCAACAAACGAUUAAUCAUGUUUUGCAAACAUUGCAACAGGCACGGUAUAACUAUUACAGUCGCAACAAAUGCGAUAAACAAAAUAAUCACCCUUUUUACCAACUCUGUUAGUCACCUGGUUUUUCCUAAUCCCUUUAGCCAAGACUCCAAUCCCAGUGAGCUUGUCGUUAGCUUAUCAGACUACUCAUUCAGUUUUUUAAGUUGUUGAAAUACUGUCUGGGCUGGAUUGAGACCCAUGUGGCGCUGAAACCGCAGAGGUGGAGGAGGGCGGUGGUCCCAACCAAGGCCGCACGCCAUGGGCUGGCACCUGUCGUGGUCCUUGUCCUGUGGAGACACAAGCAUACCCUCGCCCCCAAGUUAUUAGCUGGUAUGGUCCUUCCCACCCCCCGGUAUCCAAGUUUCGCAUCAUAACCAUCGCCUUCCCUGUUUUAACUGAUGUUAGUCCUGAUUCCAUUGUUUUAAAAUGCUUAAUAAGGGGUGGUACGUCUUUGUGUUGAAAAGCUAGUGUUAAAUGAUUCAUAACGUAGAUUACUUUAGCUAACCUGUUCUGUGGUGUCUCUUGAGUCUCCCCCUGGUUUUGUUUUGCUAGCAGGUCCUUUAUUGUGUGGUGUACUCGUUCUACUAUGGCUUUUCCUGAGGGUGAGUGUGGGAUGCCUGUCUUGUGCGUGAUACCCCAAGUGUGGAAAAAUGCCGUUGUAGAGGGGCUGACAUAUGCGGGGCCAUUAUCUGUUUUUAUUUCUUUUGGGAUGCCAAGGGCGGCAAAGGCUGCACGAAAAUGUGCUUGUAUGUGACGGCUAGUCUCGCCUGACGUUGCCGUGGCCCAGAUUGUGUGUGAAAAUGUGUCUAUGGGUACGUGAACAUAUUUUAACUUUCCGAAUUCGGGAAUGUGGGUAGUGUUGGUUUGCCAAAUCUGGAGGGAGGAGAGGCCCCUAGGAUUGACGGUAGUCAGUGGGCCUGUCUGCUGUUGACAAUCUGGGCAGGUUUGGACUAUGAGUUUUGCCUCUCCUAUAGGGAUUGCAAAUUGUCUGGACAAUACUUUCGCUGCCUGGUGAAAGAAUUGGUGUGACAAACGAGCCUGAGAUAGACAGUGUAUUUAGUACCAGAACUUGCAAUGCUACGUUAGCUAGCUGGUAGGCUUGGGCAUUCCCCUUUGUAAAGAAACCCGGUAAGGUGGUAUGACUCCUAAUAUGAAUUAUCCAGUAUGGAUGGGUACGUUGCUCAACAAGGAAUAGCAAUUCCUUGAAUUUUGCAAAUAAUGCUUCAUUCUGAAUGUGCCUGAUUUGAGAUUGUUCAAUUCGUUGUACCACUCCCACCACAUAUUGUGAAUCUGACACAAUAUUCACGGGGACCUGAUGCCAUUGUUUAAAUGCCAAUAUUGUUGCAUGUAAUUCUACUAUUUGUGGGGAGCCUUGAAUGUUUUCCAUUAUGUGGUUCCACUGGCCCCCUUGUUCCCAUGUAACUACAGCUUUUCCCGUUCGCCCCAACCCAGCAGUGAAUACAGUUUGUCUUUGGACAGGGUGCCAUCUAUAUAGGGGUUUAACCUCGAGUUGUACAGUAUUAUAAAAGGUGAACAUUUUGUGAGAUAGGAGGUGUAUAUCUAAUUGACCAUCUGAACCCAAAAGGGCUGCUUGCAGCUCAAUGCUAUUCUGGAAGCACCAGUCAAGGUAGUCCUUAACUAUCGGAAUAACAAUGCUUUUUGGUUCCUCUCCAGCCAUCUCUACGAUACGUUCUCUGCCCUUCUUAAUUAAGGCUGCAAACAUUUCAAUGUGAGUCGCGAAUGUCUUAGUAGGUUGAUGAGGUAAGAACACCCAUUCCACUAACAAUAGUGGAUUCGCUGCGGCAGGAUCCCAUUGCGCGAUUGAUAACUAAAGGUUGCGGAUUCUGGUUGCAUAUGUAGAGCUGAAUGGGUAAAUUUUUUGCACGUCGUUGGCAUUGUUGGGCUGAAACUUUUUCUUCAACGUUGCUUAAAGCUACUCUGGCUGCAUUAGUCAUGUUUCGGGGCGCAUUAACGUCCAUGUCCCCUUUCAAAAGUUUAGACAAUGGUGCUAAGGUUUGAUUAUCAAUGCCGCAGAGCGUUCGUAUCCAAUUUAUAUUUGCUAUAAGUUUCUGGACAUCAGCAUGCAGAUUUCUGUUGUGAUGGCUACAUUUUGGGGUCGAAUACUCUUGUAAUAUGUUCCAGCCUAAAUAUUUCCAAGGCGCCUCCGUCUGGAUUUGUUCUGGCACAAUUUGUAACCCUCUUUUUUGCAACUCCUGCUGUAGAACAGGCAACACUUCUUGCACUAAGCUCUCGGAUGGGCUGGAGAGCAAUGUUUCGUCCAUAUAGUGAUAAAUGUACACGUGAGGGAAUUGCCUUCGCACAGGGCACAAAGCUUCUGCAACGUAUGUCUGGCAUAUAGUUGGGGAAUUUUUCAUCUCUUGGGGUAGUACAGUCUGAUGGUAUCUGUCUAUGGAUUCACUCCUGUUGAUUUUUGGGACUGAAAAGGCAAAUCAGGGAGCAUCUUCAGAGUGAAGUGGUAUAGUGAUUCAAAGAUCGAUAGUCCAAUUUCUUUAAGUGGUAUAUUCUUUAUUGCAGCGCUGGAUGCACGGGGGAUCUCUCCGCCUAGUCGUGCAUACCUGAAGUGAAAAGCCAUCCCAAAUUUAUACAGCAGAGUGGUGAAUAUUUUAUUAACAGCCUAUACAUAUUCGUUAUCUAACCCCGCCUACUGUUGCUUCUCAUGCUAAUUAGUUUUUUGUGUCCUGCAUCUGCGCAGAUCCUCUCAUCAAUUCUGGGCAGUGGUCAUCGGGCUGUGGGUGGUGGUCUCAGAGAGGAAGGCCAUAAGUCUUCCUCACAGUGUACUUUUCACCCUUGGUCAGGAUUCUGCUGAGUUUGCUUUCUUCCUAACCGCAAGGACUGGUUUUUGCUAAUUAUUUCUUUAUCUUGUGUUCCAAUAUCCAGUUUGAGAUAUAUUGUCCUCCAAUGUCCUGUUUGAAAUAUAUUGUCCAUAAAUCUGUUUCCUGUUCUAUACAUAAUGGUCUGUUUGCAUUUUAUUCCUCCUUUAUCUCAACUUCUCUAAUCAAUAGUAAAAAAACCAAUCCUUCAAGUCAAUAAUUAGUAUAUCCCAAUUUCAAGGGAGCAUAAUAGGGGAAGGCAAUCCGGGCUGGAGAGCUCCCAUGUCUUCCAUGAUGUUGUUUAUCUGGCGCAGGUCAUGGAGCAGUCGCCAUUUCCCACUUUUCUUUUCGAUCACAAAUAUUGGUGAGUUCCAAGGACUAGUUGUGGGGGUGAUAUGUCCUAAUUUCAGUUGCUCUUUUUGUUCCAAUGCCAGAUAUUAUAUAGCUUUCUGAGCCAGCUACAUGCACUGCACGCGGCUAGCGUGCGUAGUUACAGACUUCUGAUUGGUGCAUCCCUUUUGAUCAUGCAUAGUCCUCUAUAGGCCCGUCCGAGCCUAGCAACUUCUUAUAGUGUAUAUAGUGUAUGGCUAGCCGGGGUAGGGGGGGGGCCGGCUGCUCGGGGAUAGGCUGGGCAUCGGUCAACGGGUGGUGAGCAACUGCAUUGUGCAUCACUUAUUUUGUACACAUUAUUACUAUUAAUACUGUUGUUGUUGUUAUUAUUUUCCCUGUCUUAAUAAACUGUCUUUAUCUCAA